AAUACAUUAAAAUAAUGAAGAUAAUAAUAAAAAUGCUAAAAAGGGGACUAAAUCGAAAUAAAAGCAAACAAUACGGGGUGAAAUCAAAAUAAAAAAAAGGAGGGAUUGAUUUGAAUGUGCGAAUAACAUAGAGGGGCUGGAAGGGACAAUUUCCCUUCUCCUCUAAAACGCACAGCUUCAUUGAGGACCAAAUCGAGAGAAAAAUGAAAUUUUGUGGCAAAAUUGAAAAACAAAAACAAAAUAGGACCCAAUCGUAAACAGCCUCAAAAGCGGAAGGACCAGGAGCGCAAAUAACCCCUUUUAUCCAGAAACACGCGGAUCCUUGGCGGUUCGGGUCGGGUCGGUCCGAUCCAAGACAAAACGGCGUCGUUUUGGGCAUUUUGGAGAUGGGCCAAAACGGCGCCGUUUCACACUCCUAUAUAUUUCAAAAAUUUUCCAAAAAAUUUCAUUUCCCCCUCUUUUCAAAAAAAAAUCCGAAAAUUUUCUCUCUCUCCCCCUUUCUUCUCCCCAAAAUCCGGCCAAGCUUCCGGCGAGCCAACGCCGUAGCGUCACCAUGCCGGCCACCGUACACGGUGGCCGAAAAACAGAAAAGGUAUUUUUUUGCUCUUUCUCUUUAUAUUUUUUUUCUUUUUUGCAAAUGUAAACUGUUUUUCAAAAUAAAUAAAUAAAUAAAUAAAAAUAAAAAUAAACAACAAUAAAAAGAGAUAAAAAAAGAAAGAAAUGCAAAACGAAAAUCACCUUUGAUUUUUAUAUUUCUUGGUUUUGUGAAAUGUUACAAAAGAAACAAAAAAAAGAAUCCCCUUUUACAGUGUUCGGCUUUUGCCGAAAGAGAAAAAACUCCGAAAAAUAUCCCCCCAUUUCGGUUUACAAAUCAUUUUUAUACCCGAAAUAAAAUAAAAUAAAAAUAAAUUGAUCUUUGCUAUUGUCUCCUGUGCCUUUGCUUGUUUCUCUCUGUUUGGCAUCUGUUUUUGCAGGAGUAGGUGCGGCGUCAAAGGUAGGAGUGAACGGCGUCGGCGCUGAUGGGAUGUGCGGCGAUGGCAGAGCAGGGGUCAGAAUGGUACGGCGCAUGUGGAAGGGGCUAGGGUUCUGAAACCCUAGUCUUUGUUGGGUUUGGGCCAUAAUGUUUGGGCUUGUUUUGAAUCGGGUUAGUAUUUGGGUCUGGGUAAGUUUAGGUUUGUUUAGGCCCGAGCGAAAUUGGGCUUGUACACUACAUAUUCAAAUUUAAACUAGACAAAUAAAGGGAUUAGAUUUCAAAAUAUAAAGAAUAAAGGGAGUGAAGACAAAUUAAACCUUUUUCAUUAUUAUGAAUGAAACGAAAAAAUAAGAGCCAUGGAAAAGUCAUGGGGGAGGAGAAAAAGAAUUUCAUGUCGUUUGUCAAUUUUGUUUGAUGAGUGAAAUGCACGCGCCCUUAAUGGAGGGAAAUUUUUUUUUUCUUAUUGGCUGUUUUUUUUAUUAUCUAAAGG
rnacentral:lncRNA from 1 species